rnacentral:misc_RNA from 1 species
GAUGAAGAACGUAGCGAAAUGCGAUAAGUAAUGUGAAUUGCAGAAUUCAGUGAAUCAUCGAAUCUUUGAACGCACCUUGCACUCCUUGGUAUUCCGAGGAGUACGCCUGUUCGAGUGUUAUGAAGCUCUCAAAACGCAAUUGGCUUAAAACCUGAUUGUUGUUUUGGAUUUGAACUUUGCCGUGUUAUAACGGCUGGUUUUAAAAGUAUUAGCUGGUACUAGAACGAAUUGGUUCUACUCAACGUGAUAAUUAUCUGAUCGUUGAGCACAUUCCUUUCACGAGGAAUGGCCAUAGUAAAUUCAAUGGACUGCUUCUAAUCUGGCUUUAAUUCUUUAUUGGAUUAACCACUUUUCAAAUCUGACCUCGAAUCAGGUGGGACUACCCGCUGAACUUAAGCAUAUCAAUAAGCGGAGGA